CUAGCCCACACCUCACAAGAAAAAAGCUCAACGAAAUCACCACACGAGGUGAAAAGCAUUUUGCUGUCUAACAGCGGUUACGUAAAUAAAAGAAAUACAAAAGAUGGAUGCUGAACAACAGGAAAAGCGAAUUUAAAAAGAAAUAACAAAGCAAGAGUAGCUCCAGUACUGCACACAGUUUGCGAUCCACAACUUGGAGCAAAAGUUUGCAUCGAAAUGAAAUCCUAUGCCUGCUCUAACUCUUCCGAAACUGCCGCAAAAACAAGCAAUAACUCCGCCAUUACUGAAUAUACUUUUAGUU